rnacentral:rRNA from 1 species
AAUAUUGUGCAAUGGGGGAAACCCUGACACAGCGACGCCGCGUGAGUGAAGAAGGCCUUCGGGUCGUAAAGCUCAAUAGUAUGGGAAGAAAGAAAUGACGGUACCAUACGAAAGCCCCGGCUAGCUACGUGCCAGCAGCCGCGGUAAUACGUA